UUGGGAGCUUGCUCCCAUGAGAGUGGCGCACGGGUGAGUAACGCGUAUGCAACCUACCUUUAACAGAGGGAUCGCCCAUAGAAAUGUGGAUUAAUACCUCAUAGUUCUGAGAGACCGCAUGGUUUUUCAGAUAAAGCUCCGGCGGUUAAAGAUGGGCAUGCGUGACAUUAGUUAGUUGGUGAGGUAACGGCUCACCAAGACUACGAUGUCUAGGGGUUCUGAGAGGAUGAUCCCCCACACUGGUACUGAGACACGGACCAGACUCCUACGGGAGGCAGCAGUGAGGAAUAUUGGUCAAUGGGCGCAAGCCUGAACCAGCCAUCCCGCGUGAAGGAUGAAGGCCCUAUGGGUCGUAAACUUCUUUUAUACACCAAGAAAAAGCAGGACGUGUCCUGCCCCGACGGUAGUGUAUGAAUAAGCAUCGGCUAACUCCGUGCCAGCAGCCGCGGUAAUACGGAGGAUGCAAGCGUUAUCCGGAUUCAUUGGGUUUAAAGGGUGCGUAGGCGGCUUUUUAAGUCAGUGGUGAAAUCCUGUCGCUUAACGAUAGAAUUGCCAUUGAUACUGAAGAGCUUGAGUACAAUUGAGGUAAGCGGAAUGUGUAGUGUAGCGGUGAAAUGCUUAGAUAUUACACAGAACACCGAUUGCGAAGGCAGCUUACUAAACUGUUACUGACGCUGAUGCACGAAAGCGUGGGGAGCGAACAGGAUUAGAUACCCUGGUAGUCCACGCCGUAAACGAUGAUCACUCGCUGUAUGCGAUACACAGUAUGCGGCCAAG
rnacentral:rRNA from 1 species